rnacentral:tRNA from 1 species
CUCCUUGUGGUGUAGUUGGCUAUCACGUUCGGCUGUAAUUGGAAUAAUUGUUUACCGAAAGGUCACCGGCUCGAUUCCGGUCGAGGAGA